rnacentral:lncRNA from 1 species
GAUGAAAAAGGAGAAUCGUGGAACUUCGUGGAGGAUCAAGACGAAGAGAGUUGCUCUUGCUAGCACCGUUUACUACAUAUGGCUUACGAGGAAUAGGAAGAUUUUUGAAGACCUACCGGCCGACUUGGAUUCUAUUGCUAGAAGGAUCAAGACACACGUAUACAAAGUCAUGUUUACUUUAUAUCCGGAUGUCUUGAUUCUUUUUGAAUCCUUGGCCGUGGAUCAUUGAUCUCUUAUGUAUUUUGCCUUCUUUGUGUCUCCCGGAUAUGUUCGGAGUAGUUGUUUUAGUUUUGGAUUUUGAUUUGCCCGGGAAUGCUCGGUGUACUUGUACUUAUCAUUGACUUUGUUUCGCCCGGGUAUGCCCGGUGUACUUGUAUUUUAUUUUGACAUUGUCU